ACGGGGGUGGCAAGCGUUGUCCGGAAUUACUAGGCGUAAAGGGCAGGUAGGCGGAUUGGUAAGUUAAUUGUUAAAGGCCCAUGCUCACCAUGGGUAAGGCAGUUGAUACUGUCAGUCUGGAAGCGAGUGGGGGAAGACGGAAUUCCUGGUGUAGCGGUGGAAUGCGCAGAUAUCAGGAGGAACACCGAAGGCGAAGGCAGUCUUCUACGCUUUGCUUGACGCUAAACUGCGAAGGUGCGGGUAUCAAACAG
rnacentral:rRNA from 1 species